UCGGAUUUCUCCGUUUCUGGCUCAGCUUUCUUAUCCCAGUCACCCCCAUCACCUGUCCAGCUCCCCAAGGUCUGCUGAUCCCAAACACUCUACCUCUGCCCCCUCUCAUCUAAGGCCCUGCCCCAAAGUAGGUGCCCUGUUGAGCUCACCGCUUUCUUCUGGGUAACUCCGAUCUCAGCCUUAUUCCAAGUCUUAACUGUGUCUUCUCGUCUUAGCCUCCUAGCCCACUGUAUACUUCCUUUCCGACUCCUGCCGUACUGAGGACACCCAUCCCUAAGUCUUUGCUAAACUGUCCUGAACUCUUGCUGCCUCCUUUCCUACCACCCUCACCCAAUCUUGUUAAAAAUGACAUCUCCAUGUCCUUUCACCCUCCCUGACGCCACCGCAGCUCUUCACCCCAACUCUGCGUCCAUUCCUUUCCUCGACCCAACUCCCAUUCAAUCUGAGAACUUGGUGCAGAGUCUCCUGCCAACUCCACCAACUGCCCCUCAACAGCCAAAUGUAGGUGCUCACUCAGACUAGCAGUUAGAGACUGAGCAGCGUGACUGGUGGGCCUAGGGCCUCAGGUGGUAAAUGAGGUUGGAGGAGCAGUGGGCUGUCCCCAAAUUGUGGAUUGGGCCGGAGGGUUUUCCUGGCGUCUGGUCUCCUGUACCUGUCCACAGCGACUGUGUUUCUGGCAUUCAUAUUAAAUGACUUGUGCUGGCUGCUGGAAUGGAAGGUAUCAUUCAAAUACCUGGAAGGUGAGAGAUGGCCACUCACUCAGCUCACUUAGCAUAGGAUGAUGGAAGCUAUCACUUCCUUCUGGCUGCUGUUCUGGCCCUGGAGAGCCUCCAGGAGGUUUCUAAAGGGUCCUAAAGAACAUUGUCUCUGCUGUGGUCGCAGAACAUUGUCCAUGUUCCUUUUUCUGGCACUUGUAAGGGCCGCUCCCUGCCAGAGCUGAUGGCAGAUCACUCCUGAUGCUGAAUUCGGAGGACACGAUGGGUGCCAGAGGCAGUGUUACCUGUUGUGAAGAGUAUAGAUGAAUAGGUCCUGGGGAGGCUGAGGCCUGGGUAGGUACAGAGGCUCUUGAAUCGCUUUCUUUUCUUGCAAGCACUGGCUCAUUGACUUUCGGCCAUUUGGAUUCCCUGAACACAGGGAACCACAUUAUCUCAGAGUAGCUGAGGCAGAAGGACAUUCCAGAGGCACCCAAGUCCCAUGCUCAGCAUUUAUAGUUUCCUGAGGGCUUUUGGGGACACAUUUUCUCUGAAUCCUAAGGACCCAGCAUCAGAUGGGUGGGCCAUUUGACCACAGUAUUAAAGGGUCCUAAAGAACAUUGUCUCUGCUUGCCGUUUAUAGUCUUACUCCUCUGAAAACUAAAUGCUGUUUACCUUCAAUGUCCUUCCAUUCAUAUGCAGGAUAUUUAAGUUGUUUUCAGCCUUAUUGGCAGCUUGGCUUAGUGGAAGGAGGUCCACAGUGGCCCCAGCACUUAAGAGCUACAUACCCCAACUUCCCAGUGUGUGAAAUGGAGAUACUUGCCCUGUGCCUUGUUUUCAUUUUAUUAAUCGGUUCAUUCAACAGCUUAUUUUUUGAGCACCAGUGUGUGCCAAGCACUGUUCUAGGUACAAUGGUGACUGGGUCAGGCAACUUUCCUGUUUUCAUUCAUUCAGAGUUUGGUCCUUGUUAGAAUCCUCUGGGACAUGGGACAAGAAUAUAGGGAAGGUAGGUGUUAUUGGAUGGAAGGAAGGAGGGAGGAAAGAAAGAUUCCCAGUGUUCACUGACUCCAGCUCUGCCCUCAUCCACUAGCCCUGAGUCUGGGAAUCACAAGCUACAAGUUUCUCACCCUUCAUCUGGUAUUUAAUUGCUUCAAAGCUCCAAUCCCCCACCACCCCACCUGUCACAGAAAUCCAGCUUUCCUCAGGUGGACAGAGAUGCUGUUUCCUCAGUCAGCACUCACAUGUCUGAAGGAUCAGCUGCCUUUCUGAAUCAGAAGAUAACUGUGUCAUUCUUUUCCAAUUGAAAAAACAUGACCCAUCAAUUGGUACGGCAGCUGGAUGGCUUAAAGCCAGGCUGUGGCUCUGAAGAGCCAGGUACACAAUUCAGGCGGUGGUGAGAAGGCCGUGGGGAGUGGCUGAGAAGUCCCUCAAGAGAAGAGGCCGCUGUUCACUGAUAGUGGGGUGUUUUGAGAGUGGUGAAGCCAGGUUAUCUUUCUUCUUUUAAUGUAAGUCUCAUCUAAGUAAUUCUCUUUUUUUCUUCCUUGAUAGCUGUAGGAAGUGAAAUUGGACAUAUAGAGAAGGCCAGGCAGUGUAAUGAAGGAAACCAACUGGAACUGUUCCUUCCUGUGUUGGAACAUUUAAGAAAGUAUAGCUCUGAGACUUUGGGAGCAUUGGGGGAUGCCGGCAGCCCUGAGGGAUUGAACCACUCACUGACUUCAACUCUUCCUGCAUACUCAUUUGGACAUGGCAUUCUUGGUCUGUAGAUUUAGGUGGUCACAUCCACUGGGAUGACAGACACCAGGUACGUAUCAGGCCCUGUGACAGGUGUUUUACACAUUCUCCAUCUAAGAGGUCUGCGCAUGCCUACCUGGUUAGUGGCAGAUUGAAACGAGACCUCGUGGUUGUCGCGAUUAGACGUGCCCCUGUAUGCCACUCAAGCCAGACCCUUGAA